UGUUCUGUGGCUUAGUUGGUUAAAGCGCCGGUCUAGCGAAUACGGAGUUGUGGGUUCGAAUCCCACCAGAACUC
rnacentral:tRNA from 1 species